GAUGAACGCUGGCGGCGUGCCUAAUACAUGCAAGUCGAGCGAACGGACGAGAAGCUCGCUUCUCUGAUGUUAGCGGCGGACGGGUGAGUAACACGUGGAUAACCUACCUAUAAGACUGGGAUAACUUCGGGAAACCGGAGCUACUACCGGAUGAUAUUUUGAACCGCAUGGUUCAAAAGUGAAAGACGGUCUUGCUGUCACUUAUAGAUGGAUCCGCGCUGCAUUAGCUAGUUGGUAAGGUAACGGCUUACCAAGGCAACGAUGCAUAGCCGACCUGAGAGGGUGAUCGGCCACACUGGAACUGAGACACGGUCCAGACUCCUACGGGAGGCAGCAGUGGGGAAUAUUGCGCAAUGGGCGAAAGCCUGACGGAGCAACGCCGCGUGAGUGAUGAAGGUCUUCGGGUUGUAAAACUCUGUUAUUAGGGAAGAACAUAUGUGGGAGAAUAUGUGCACAUCUUGACGGUACCUAAACAAAAAGCCACGGCUAACUACGUG
rnacentral:rRNA from 1 species